rnacentral:tRNA from 1 species
ACUUGGUUGGCUCAGUCAGUGGAGUGUGAGACUGGAUCUUGGUGUUGUGAGUUCAAGCCCCACACUGGGUG